UACGUAGGGUGCGAGCGUUGUCCGGAAUUAUUGGGCGUAAAGAGCUCGUAGGCGGUCUGUCGCGUCGGUCGUGAAAACUUGGGGCUUAACCCUGAGCUUGCGGUCGAUACGGGCAUGACUGGAGUUCGGCAGGGGAGACUGGAAUUCCUGGUGUAGCGGUGAAAUGCGCAGAGUAUCAGGAGGAACACCGGUGGCGAAGGCGGCUCGCUGGGCCAUUGCUGACGCUGGAGGCGCGAAAGCGUGGGAGCAAACGGG
rnacentral:rRNA from 1 species